rnacentral:rRNA from 1 species
UUGGAGGGCAAGUCUGGUGCCAGCAGCCGCGGUAAUUCCAGCUCCAAUAGCGUAUAUUAAAGUUGUUGCGGUUAAAAAGCUCGUAGUUGAACCUUGGGUCUGGCUGGCCGGUCCGCCUCACCGCGAGUACUGGUCCGGCUGGACCUUUCCUUCUGGGGAACCUCAUGGCCUUCACUGGCUGUGGGGGGAACCAGGACUUUUACUGUGAAAAAAUUAGAGUGUUCAAAGCAGGCCUUUGCUCGAAUACAUUAGCAUGGAAUAAUAGAAUAGGACGUGCGGUUCUAUUUUGUUGGUUUCUA